rnacentral:rRNA from 1 species
UACGUAGGUGACAAGCGUUGUCCGGAUUUACUGGGCGUAAGGAGCGCGCAGGCGGUCGUUCAAGUCGCGUGUGAAAGCCCCCGGCUCAACUGGGGAGGGUCACGCGAUACUGAUCGACUCGAAGGCAGGAGAGGGUAGUGGAUUCCCGGUGUAGUGGUGAAAUGCGUAGAUAUCGGGAGGAACACCAGUGGCGAAGGCGACUACCUGGCCUGUUCUUGACGCUGAGGCGCGAAAGCUAGGG